rnacentral:pre_miRNA from 1 species
CUUGCACCAGUGGGGUCCCUCAGUCUGGCCUGCAAGGAUCCACCGGAAACCGGCAGUCCAACAUCCCCUGAAGGGUCUCAUAUUGCGAGAGGGUGCAGGCCAGGCCGAGGGACCCCACUGGUGCAAG